rnacentral:rRNA from 1 species
CCUACGGGUGGCAGCAGUCGAGAAUCAUUCACAAUGGGGGAAACCCUGAUGGUGCGACGCCGCGUGGGGGAAUGAAGGUCUUCGGAUUGUAAACCCCUGUCAUGUGGGAGCAAAUUAAAAAGAUAGUACCACAAGAGGAAGAGACGGCUAACUCUGUGCCAGCGGCCGCGGUAAUACAGAGGUCUCAAGCGUUGUUCGGAAUCACUGGGCGUAAAGCGUGCGUAGGCUGUUUCGUAAGUCGUGUGUGAAAGGCGCGGGCUCAACCCGCGGACGGCACAUGAUACUGCGGGACUAGAGGAAUGGAGGGGGAACCGGAAUUCUCGGUGUAGCAGUGAAAUGCGUAGAUAUCGAGAGGAACACUCGUGGCGAAGGCGGGUUCCUGGACAUUAACUGACGCUGAGGCACGAAGGCCAGGGGAGCGAAAGGGAUUAGAUACCCUUGUAGUC